rnacentral:SRP_RNA from 1 species
ACUGCCUCAGAUCCGGAAAGCAGCAGGGU